AAAUUUGUAUUCUCUUUGAAAUUUGUCCUAUUGGGACCCUUUAUCUGGUCAUUGAGUGUUCCCGU